UCAGAUGAAAACCCUAAACCAUCUUCCUCACGCAAAAACCAACCAUCAGACAAGUUCUCAUGCUCUGUUUAUCACAAUCGGAAGAACCCUGAAUGAAAUCUUUGACUGAAAAUCGAUAAAUUCAGACCAACCCUUCAUAGAUCAAAAAGAACGAACCCGCAGAAAUCGAACAGAACCUACAUCGAUCAUUUAAGGUUAGAUGACGGUGUGGAUGAUGAUUUGAAGUUCUAGAGGGCAGAUGAUUGUCGUUUUUAGACCCAAAUAAAUAGAGAUGAUAGUGAGAGAAGAAUCACCGGCCGGACUUCGUGGCUUUUUGUUCUCAUCUUUUGCACUGUUUCAAAUCAUUAUAACCCUAACUAGCCCCCAAACUUAUUAUAACCUUAAUUCGAUUAGCAAAACCUUCAAAUCAGUCGCCCCCAAAUUGAGUUGUCGGACCUACAACUCCAGUUUUUCAUUUGUAUAGCCUUCUUCAUUAGUAGCCCAGUUGUAAGAUCAAAAGGCGAAUUGGAGGACAAGGACAAGAAGCAUAAAAAUCACAAAGACAAAGAGAAGGAGAAAAAUGAAGAACAUAAAAAACAUAAAACAUUAUCAUCAGGAUAAGAAAAACAAGAAUGAUAAAAUCAGCUAUCAUGGCUCUGGUUUUGAGCAUUUGAAGAAACCCCAUGAAAAGAAAAGGAUGGUUGAAGAAGAUUAGGACCUUAGUGCCAUUCACAAGCACCCGAAUACCAAGUGACCAGUGUUGCUGAAGUGUUUUCGAGAAUUGAUCACAAGUUUGAUUUGAUGUAUGCGAAGAGGGCGUUUGUACAUUGGUAUGUUGGUGAGGGUAUAGAGGAAGGGUAGUUCUCGGAGGCGAGAGAGUAUUUGGCUCCUUUUGAGAAGGAUUAUGAAGAGGCCGGGCUCGAUUCUGCUAAUAACGAGGAAGACAUUGGUGAAGAGUAAUAGUUUGAUUAGCAUUAAGUCUGGUUUUUAUGUUUCCGAAGUAUAAAAACCAAUGUGUUUAAAAGAAGGUAUAAGCAGGUACUACUCUUAUUAU